CAAUAGCGUAUAUUAAAGCUGUUGCGGUUAAAAAGCUCGUAGUUGGAUUUCUGUCAAGGACAACUGGUCCGCCCUCCGGGUGAGCACAUAGUUUGGUCUUGGCAUCUUGCUGGAAGCUGUUGCUGCACUUGGCUGUGUGGCGCAGCGUCCAGCACUUUCACUUUGAGGAAAUUGGAGUGUUUCAAGCAGGCACAUGCCUUUGGACACAGUAGCAUGGAAUAAUUAGAUUGGGCUUUUGCUCCAAUUUGUCGGUUUCUGGAGCUGAGGUGAGAAUUAAUGGGGAUUGUUGGGGGCAUCCGAAUUUAGCCGUCAGAGGUGAAAUUCUUGGAUCUGCUAAAGACGGACAACUGCGAAAGCGUUUGCCUAGGAUGUUUUCAUUGA
rnacentral:rRNA from 1 species